rnacentral:rRNA from 1 species
CCUACGGGAGACAGCAGUGGGGAAUAUUGGGCAAUGGGCGCAAGCCUGACCCAGCAACGCCGCGUGAAGGAAGAAGGCUUUCGGGUUGUAAACUUCUUUUCUGAGGGACGAAGAAAGUGACGGUACCUCAUGAAUAAGCCACGGCUAACUACGUGCCAGCAGCCGCGGUAAUACGUAGGUGGCAAGCGUUAUCCGGAUUUAUUGGGUGGAAAGGGCGUGUAGGCGGGAAAGCAAGUCCGAUGUGAAAACUCAGGGCUCAACCCUGGGCCUGCAUUGGAAACUGUUUUUCUUGAGUGCUGGAGAGGUAAUCGGAAGUCCGGGUGUAGCGGUGAAAUGCGUAGAUAUACGGAGGAACACCAGUGGCGAAGGCGGAUUGCUGGACAGUAACUGACGCUGAGGCGCGAAAGCGUGGGGAGCAAACAGGAUUAGAUACCCGGGUAGUC